rnacentral:rRNA from 1 species
CCUACGGGAGGCAGCAGCUAAGAAUAUUCCGCAAUGGACGAAAGUCUGACGGAGCGACGCCGCGUGGAUGAAGAAGGCCGAAAGGUUGUAAAGUUCUUUUGUUGGGGAAGAAUAACCAUGGGAGGGAAUGCCCGUGGGAUGACAUGAACCGACGAAUAAGCCCCGGCUAACUACGUGCCAGCAGCCGCGGUAACACGUAGGGGGCGAGCGUUGUUCGGAAUUACUGGGCGUAAAGGGCAUGUAGGCGGUCUUGUAAGCUUGGCGUGAAAGACCACGGCUCAACCGUGGGAUUGCGUUGAGAACUGCGAGGCUUGAGUGACGGAGAGGGAGCUAGAAUUCCUGGUGUAGGGGUGGAAUCUGUAGAGAUCAGGAAGAAUACCAAUGGCGAAGGCAAGCUCCUGGCCGAUGACUGACGCUGAGGUGCGAAAGUGUGGGGAUCAAACAGGAUUAGAUACCCUGGUAGUCCACACUGUAAACGAUGUGCACUAGGUGCUGGUACGGAUGUAUCAGUGCCGUAGCUAACGUGAUAAGUGCACCGCCUGGGGAGUAUGCUCGCAAGGGUGAAACUCAAAUGAAUUGACGGGGA